rnacentral:rRNA from 1 species
CGGCCUUUUAAGUUGGAUGUGAAAGCCUAUGGCUCAACCAAGAACUGCAUCCAAAACUAUUGGGCUAGAGUGUGGGAGAGGAAGAUGGAAUUAGUUGUGUAGGGGUAAAAUCCGUAGAGAUAACUAGGAAUACCAAAAGCGAAGGCAAUCUUCUGGAACAUUACUGACGCUGAGGCGCGAAAGCGCGGGGAGCAAACAGGAUUAGAUACCCUGGUAGUCCACGCCCUAAACGAUGAAUGUUAGUCGUCGGGUAGCUAGUCUAUUCGGUGAUGCAGCUAACGCAUUAAACAUUCCGCCUGGGGAGUACGGUCGCAAGAUUAAAACUCAAAGGAAUAGACGGGGACCCGCACAAGUGGUGGAGCAUGUGGUUUAAUUCGAAAAUACGCGAAGAACCUUACCUAGCCUUGACAUAUAUUAGAACACUUUAGAGAUAGAGUGGUGCCUUCGGGAGCUUUUAUACAGGUGCUGCACGGCUGUCGUCAGCUCGUGUCGUGAGAUGUUGGGUUAAGUCCCGCAACGAGCGCAACCCUCGUCACUAGUUACUAACGGUUCGGCCGAGGACUCUAGUGAGACUGCCUUCGUAAGGAGGAGGAAGGUGAGGACGACGUCAAGUCAUCAUGGCCCUUACGGCUAGGGCAACACACGUGCUACAAUGGCCAGGACAAUGAGAAGCGAUACCGCGAGGUGGAGCAAAUCUAUAAACCUGGUCUCAGUUCGGAUUGUAGUCUGCAACUCGACUACAUGAAGCUGGAAUCACUAGUAAUCGUAGAUCAGCUAUGCUACGGUGAAUACGUUCCCGGGUCUUGUACUCACCGCCCGUCACAC